GAUGAACGCUGGCGGCGUGCCUAAUACAUGCAAGUCGAGCGAAGCGGGGACGGGUGAGUAACACGUGGAUAACCUCCUAUAAGCCUGGGAUAACUUCGGGAAACCGGAGCUAAACCGGAACCUUAUAGAUGAAUCCGCGCUGCAUUAGCUAGUUGGAAAGGUAACGGCUUACCAAGUCAACGAUACAUAGCCGACCUGAGAGGGUGACCGGCCAACCUGGAACUGAGAAACGGCCCAGAUUCCUACGGGAGGCAGCAUUAGGGAAUCUUCCGAAAUGGGCGAAAGCCUGACGCAGCAACGCCGCGUGAGUGAUGAAGGUCUUCGGAUUGUAAAACUCUGUUAUUAGGGAAGCGGUACCUAAUCAGAAAGCCUCGGCUAACUACGUGCCAGCAGCCGCGGUAAUAC
rnacentral:rRNA from 1 species